rnacentral:snoRNA from 1 species
CUGCAGACUGUUAUCCCUUUUUGUUCUGCUGUGAGCCUAGAGGGAGUCUGUCUGCUAAAGCAAAACCCUGAGCUCAGGCUAAUGCUGUCUGCACGAUGUGUGCACGAUGGACACCUGAGCUCUGUGGACAUCU